GAUUUAGCUCAGUGGCAAUGCACCUGCCUUCCAAGCACAAGACCCUGAGUUCAAUUCUCAGUAAGAUCA
rnacentral:tRNA from 1 species